CGAAGGCGUGAGGCGCGUGUCUUAACGUCGGAGGCCGAGGAAGCUUUAGCUCCAUACGGGACGCGCAGCUGAAAAUUCUCUGCUGGAUGUAACUUCUCUGCUGGAUGUAACCUGUGUUCCGCCAUUGUAAUGUGUGCUGUAAGUGAACCAGAGCUGGGCAUCACUUUGAGCUGCAAAAGGACCAGCAAGUUACUCUUGUGUUUUCCUGGUACAAGUCAUCUUCCCAAGAUCAUUAUUAAAGGGCAAUUCACUGGCAGUCCUGCUGCCAAGAAACCAUAGAAACAUCAGAUGAACCUUAUUCGGCUUAGUGAUCUGUACUGAUUCAGUCUUUAAAGGUAAGUCAUGGCUAAUACUGUUCGCUAGGUGACAUUUAAGAACAGUAUGGGUCUUCCCAUAGCAGUGAUUUUCCUUUGGAGUAGGAAGUUCUGGCUAUCUUUAAAGGGACUUCUGAAAUUAGUCCUGUAUCCAGUUAUAGUGAAGGGAAGAUAUUUAAGAAGGUGGCAGACAUCAUGUUUUCCUCUUUCUUGAGGAGAUCAUCAAAGCAGGAUAUUUACUAUUUACUGUAACUCCAGUCAGUUAUGACCGUUAGUAAAUGACUCUUCACACCUCCAGUUGACUUUGUGCCUGAUUAUGGUAUUGGAACUGUAUCUAUGAGCCCAGAGUUUAAAUAGCCCACUCCUAAAAAUGUAUAUGCUGUCCUUAAAAUUGUUGCAGUGGAUAUGGAAUACAGCAGCUUGCCUUCUAAGCAAUACUCCCAAGAAAGAACUGUCUAAGUCUCUUGAUUUCCUAUUCAUCAUGCUGUUUCCCUGUUAAAUGCCCGAUUCAGUUCAGGGCUGUAGAGUUCACUGUACUCCAAGUUCUGGAGGGAAUAGUUGCAAACUAUUUCAGUAACUAUUUCUUUUCUGAGUUAGUUCCAAGACAAGCAGAGCUGCCCACAUCAAGGACAAGACUGGACAGCUAGAAGGAAUGUUUGUUCAAGGUCUAGCCCACACCUAUGAAACACUUUGGCAAUGAAACAUUUGGUUAGCUAUGAGACACUUAGAUAAACUGGCAUUUACUGCACAUGUGAUUAGAACAGUGAUUAGAACAUUAGUGAACAUGUGAUUGCAGAGGCAGGCAUUUUGAUCAAUGAGUUAAUACUUUUGGCAAGAAUUUAUUUAAAUAUAAAAGUUGGCCUGUGCUCUGGUAAGGAUAAAGUACUGAGAGAUUGAGGUAAACUAACUGCUACUUAUUUUGUCAUGAUUCAACAGCUCGGACUAGUCUGAAAACCGUAGUGAGGGGAAAAGCCAUGCUGAUAUGAUUAUACUUAGACUGAUAGCCACUCUUUCGUGCUGGAGGUCAUAAACUUACAGCUCCUUUUCAGCAAAAAAGAAGUUACAGCUCUCACAUUUAAAUGACAUUGUUUUUGUAUUAGAACAGUGGAAAUAGGUCGUGACUUAUAUACAAAAGCCUUAUGAUCAUCUUAUGCAGUCACUUUUGAUGGCAUACCUUAGACUUUCACUGCUUGGUUUCCACAUGCUUAUACUGAGUAAAGUGAGGAAGGUUUCCUCCCUCAUUAGUAUAUUGGCUCCCAAUAUACUGAAAGGAAUAUUUCUAUUUAAUUAGUCAGAUGGUCAAACCUCUAUACCUAUACUGAAAUGCACCUGCCCUGAAUUGCUCUAUUUAGAUUAUGAAGGCCUGAAAGGGGAAGCAGUGAUAAUAAUGGUGGCAGAAUGCGUGAGUGCAGGCCUGCAUGGAAGUGGCGUAUAGCAAGUAGUUUUUGUUAUGCCUCCUGCCAGCCAGGAGUAUAAGAAAAAAAUAUUCAACGGAAUUAAUGUGAUCAGCCAUCAAACACUAAUUCCUCUAGAGGCUGUAAGAAAAUGUUAUGUCCUUCAGGCAGCUGCUGAGUGCUAGGCACAGUGACCGUGCUGGUUGACCACCCAGUAUAGCCUUUCUUCUCAGUGUACUGACUGCUGCGGGAUGCUGUACAGCAGAUUACCACACUAGGCAGCUGGAAGACUGGGCCCAGAUAUCAUUUUGUGCAUGCAGCUCACAAAAACACAGCAAUUUACUCACCCCAUAGUCAUAGUUUUUCAGUAAGAGCAGACUACUGCCUACGGUAGUUUUUACUACAUACAUUCACAUGUUUUUGUAAAUUCUUUUUUUACAUGUUUGUGCUAUAAUGCAAUUUUAUGACAUACUGUUUAGAGCAAUUUGGAAUUUGUUUGUGGUUUUCAUACAUCUCUGAAAGUCAUAAUAUUUGCUAUAAAUAUACUUCAUCUGUUUUAUUUUGGCUGCUUUGAUUUCUGCACAUUUGUAACAGUGUUGGUACUCCCUCUUCAUGUGACAGAUGAUAGGUAAAACACUUCAGUUUUGUAACAGUUAUGGUGGUUCAAUCCUAUCUUUCAUUAAAAUGUAUAUAUUUUUAAUUAAGCUAUUUCUAUCUAAGCUCCAUUAUAAUCUAAUUGAGGGGAAAAGCUUUUAAAAAGAGUCAUUUUCCUUUUGGAGAUUUUAAAGUUUCCCUACUAAGGACAGAGAAUAUGUGGUCUCUGCUUUUUGGCUUAUGAAGAUAAGGUACUGCUUUUUUCCCUAAAUUCUGCUGUGCUCAAGCUUGUUUGAGUUUUUUGGUUAACAUAGUCAGAGGAUGUAAACUACGCUCACAUAAGACUCAGCUGAAUUUCCUCUGAAGUAUUGCUCUAGGUAUUAACAACUUUGAGCUUAGAUCAAGCCUGUAAUUAUUUGAGUGCUCACAUCUGGCUUGUGCAUUGUAUGGUAUGAAGAGAAUGCAGUAGUUGUCCCAAAAAAAUGGUGAUCUAAAUCAGUUUAGUUAAAAAUGCAAUCAGUUUCCUUUGUUUUAUUUGACUUAAUGGCUUUUAAUAAAUGAACAAUUUUGAACAAUUUUGCUGCUCACCCACGAAGGUUUUUAAAUUUGCAUACCUAUUUGGAUAAAACCUGCAAAUUGCCUAAAGUAUUGGGAAUUAUUUUGUGAGUUUUUUGAUUUUACAAAAUCCUCUCUCAGCUCUGUAAAGAUUAAACAGUGCAGUAAUACAUAUAGAUCAAAGAUUUAUAUCACUGUGUGGUACCACCUUUCCUCAGAUUGGAGUGGUCAGGUAGCAUAUUCUGACAGCAUUGUAAUUUGAUGCAAGUGAAGUAAAAUUAUCUCACAUAAUAAUUGGACUGAAUCUUGCAUUUUAUAUCUGAACAGUGGACACUAAAGCACUUCUGAGAGGUGAGUUUGGGUUUAAAGUCCCAGCCAUAUCCUGAUUCUGUGGCAGAGUGAGACCUGGCCCACAGCAUUCACCCCUUCCUCUUUUUCCCCUAUGCCUUCCCCCAGUUUAUUACUCUUAGGAAAAAUAGGUACUGUUUAAAAAAAGAAGAGAAAUAACUGAAACCUUUCAGCAACCAGAGAAACUAAAAGAAUACAAAACCCGUCUAGAAAUGAAAAAAAGCAAAUUGUAAAUGUUCCUUGUAUUUUCACAGGAAAAAAUACCACAAAGCAACAUUUGUGAAUUUGUUGCAGUGGUUUAUUCAGUGUUGACUCUAACACUUUCUAGCUGGUGUGAAUGUCAUGAUAAAAUUUUGUAAUAGAGAUGUGCACGCAUGUGUGUGUACGUGCAUGUGCAUAUAACAUAACAGAAAUUUAAGAGACCAAUAUUCCACAAAAGAAAACCAGUAUGUUCAUUUUCAAUAUGGUACUAACAAAAUGAGAGUAUUUAAUUAUUAUCUUUUGAAAACAAGAAAAUACGGCCUUUAUCUUGUAAAGCACCUUGUAAAAUUCUACCUGCUCCUUUUCAAGCUCAGCCUGAGCUGCUCUUACAUGUUAUAGGUAACAAGUUAGAACAUGUAACAAAGUUCCAUAGAUUAUCUUUUUUAAGUAAAGCCUAAAAGCAUUAUCAAGUUCCCUAUAUCCCUGCACCUGCAUGGUAGAACUCAGUGGGAAUUUCACUGGCUGGUCCCAAGCUCACAAAAACGAGCAUAUGGCAACUUAAGCUGAGUGUGGAAAGGGGCACUUAUGAGGAAAGUUACAAGGUCCGUUAUAUGAUAAAGAGCAUCAUCUUCCCUUUUUAAAUAUGUAACAGUUAAGUAAUCUCAUCUUGUUAGUAUUUUCUUUAUAGUAAAUAACCUAUACUGUUGUUUUAUGUGAUUUUUGUCCUCUUAAACUUCACUGCAUUAUGCCACUGCUGCAUGUCAGUAUUAGGACAGGAAAAAAAGAGGUUUUGGCAUGCUUUAUAAAGUUCUGGUGACAACAGACUCCGCCAUCCCCAGGAGUAAGAGCUACCCCCUAGAUAUGUCAUUUGAUGGCAGAGAAGAAUUGCAAAGAAAGCGCAAAAAAAAAAAAAAAUCUUCCAACAGAAUGUCUGGGAUCCCUGUCUUCUCAUGAGACUGUACUUAUUUUUGUAAGGUCAGUGCCUCUGGCCUUUAUUUUCCAACAGUAUCAAACUUUAUCUCUAAAGUUUCAUUGUAACAGAUAAGUUAUGCUAUAAAAUGGCACGUGUCAAUAGGCUUGCAGCUAAUAUUUGUUAGCGUUACCUGUUGCAUACUUUCAGAGCAGUUUGUUUUUCUUCUUCCUGCAGAAGGCUCUCACUAAUAGGAGAAUACGACGUUCGUUUUUCUGGCUUGCGCGCUGAGAUGGGAGUAUCAGUGACUAUGUUCUGCAUUUCUAAUGUUUGAAUUAACAUUGCCAGCUGAUUUAAUUAGGUUGAAUUUUUUUAUUUUUUAAUUGAAAGUCACAAUAAAUAUGGAUUGCAAAUAGUCAAACGUUUUUCACUGUAUGUCAUCAAUAUUAAAACUUUUA